AUCUUGUAAAACAUACGAGACACUUGGUACCAAAGAAAAAAUAAGUGUUUAUGAUGAUUUAGAAAAAACCAAAGGUGUAACAUCAUCGAAAUCUUCGAUGGGUGUUUACGAAGCGCUAGGUGUCCAAGACAAACCAAGCAUUUAUGCUGAAAUGGAAAACCAGAAAGGUAG